rnacentral:rRNA from 1 species
AGAAAAUUUUUCCUACCUGGGUAUUUUAGUUAAGUUCUUUAAACCCAAAGAAUUUGGCGGUAUUUCAUUCCAUUUAGAGGAACCUAUCUAUUAAUUGAUAAUACACGAUUAACUUUACUUAAUUUAUUUGUUUGUAUAUCUCCGUUAUCAGAAAAUCUUUAUGGGGUAAUAAUUUUCUUGUUUUUAAAAUAAAAUUUAUUUCAGGUCAAGGUGCAGCUUAUAAUUAAGAUUUUGAUGGGUUACAAUAAAUUAUGGUUUAUUAUGGAUUUAAUUCUUGAAAUUUGUUUAAUGAAGGUGGAUUUAAUAGUAAUUUAAUUAAUAAAUUAAAGGUAAUAAAC